UACAGAGGGUGCAAGCGUUGUUCGGAAUCAUUGGGCGUAAAGCGCGUGUAGGCGGUCCGGUAAGUCCGCUGUGAAAGUCGGGGGCUUAACCCUCGGAUGCCGGUGGAUACUGUCGGGCUUGAGUACGGAAGAGGCGAGUGGAAUUCCUGGUGUAGCGGUGAAAUGCGCAGAUAUCAGGAGGAACACCAAUUGCGAAGGCAGCUCGCUGGGACGUUACUGACGCUGAGACGCGAAAGCGUGGGGAGCAAACAGG
rnacentral:rRNA from 1 species